rnacentral:rRNA from 1 species
GACGAACGCUGGCGGCGUGCUUAACACAUGCAAGUCGAACGAAGUGGCGAACGGGUGAGUACUAAGUGGGUAACCUGCCCUCCUUUUUGUGCUAAUCCUUUGAAACGUGGUCUAAUACCGCAUAAAGGGGGAUGGGCUCGGGGCCUAUCAGCUUGUUGGUGGGGUGAUGGCCUAACAAGGCGGAGACGGGUAGCCGGACUGAGAGGGGGAACGGCCACAGUGGGACGGAGAUACGGCCCAGACGACGAAGGGAGGGAGAAGUGGGGGAUAUUGCACAAUGGGUGAAAGCGUGAUGCAGCGACGCCGCGUGGGGGAUGAAGGUUGUCGGGGUGUAAACCUGUUGCGCUAGCGAACGGGUAGGUGGAGAAGAAGCGCCGGCUAACUACGUGCCAGCAGCCGCGGUAAUAC